rnacentral:rRNA from 1 species
GUCUACAGCCGUGCCACCCUGAACAAGCCCGAUCCCAUCUGAUCUUGGAAGCUAAGCAGGGUCAGGCCUGGUUAGUACUUGGAUGGGAGACUACUUAAGAAGACCAGGUGCUGUAGAUA